CUAGCUCAGCAGGAAUUAGGUGGUGGUGCAUGUGUAUUAGGUUUCUUGGUCUCACUCACAUGUUCUAGUACAUAGUUGCUUGGUCGUAUAAAGGCAUGCCCAGCUCUUAUAUGGACAGAAAGAGAAGAAGAAGCCAUGAAGAGAAGAGAAGAUGCUUGUGGAUUGUGGUGGAAGUGUGCUAUCUAGGGCAAGUAGCAAAUGAAGAAGAAGAGUACAGUGGCCGCGGCAACAUUGUGGAUCUUGAAAGAUCAUAUCAAGUGCUUCGAUGGUCAUAAUAGGAGAAGUAGAAUGGUUCAUCUCCGCGAGACAGGAGAAGGCAUUGUGGGAUUGAGGCCGAUCGAGUGGGGUUAGGAUGAAGCAUUGGAUGGACUAAUGGGGGUGCUGAAGGUGAGCACUUCGCCUUUUGCCGCUAAAGUGCAUACUAUGUCCCCGGCUAAUGGUGUGAUUGUAAAUAGUAGGGUGGAAUACUCAUGCAAUGAGGGUUCAAUUCUCACGCUGAGUACUUUCAAAUGCUCGCGGUGCUCGAAUCAUUCGUAAUGUUGGGUCGUCAACUAGGACUCAUCUAUACUUUUUAAUUUAUUCUAGUGAUCAGUAAAAAAUUUUCGUGAGACCGAGUCAGUCAUCUCAAAUUAAGUAAUUUAACAAGCUGGAUAUCUG